rnacentral:rRNA from 1 species
UGUUAAUAUUCCUGUACCUCUUACUGAUGCGAUGGAGGGACGGAGAAGGCUAUAUCUACCAGCGAUUGGUUGUGCUGGGGAAAGGUUGUAGGCAUGUGUCUUAGGCAAAUCCGGGAUACUCUAUGCUGAGAACUGAGACGAACCUGUCCUUGUACGGGGAAGUGAUAGAUGCCAUGCUUCCAAGAAAAGCUCCUAAGCUUCAGUCAGUAAGGGAUCGUACCCAAAACCGACACAGGUGGUCAGGUCGAGAAGACCAAGGCGCUUGAGAGAACUCUGCUGAAGGAACUAGGCAAAAUAGUACCGUAACUUCGGGAGAAGGUACGCUGUUGAUGGUGAAGGAUUUACUCCGUAAGCUAUUGGCAGCCUCAGAAACUAGGCCGCUGCAACUGUUUAUUAAAAACACAGCACUCUCAAACACGAAAGUGGACGUAUAGGGUGUGAUGCCUGCCCGGUGCUGGAUGUUAAUUGAUGGGGUUAGCGAAAGCGAAGCUCUUGAUCGAAGCCCCAGUAAACGGCGGCCGUAACAAUAACGGUCCUAAGGUAGCGAAAUUCCUUGUCGGGUAAGUUCCGACCUGCACGAAUGGCAUAAUGAUGGCGGCGCUGUCUCCAGCAGAGACUCAGUGAAAUCGAAAUCGCGGUGAAGAUGCCGUGUACCCGCGGCUAGACGGAAAGACCCCGUGAACCUUUACUGCAGCUUUGCACUGAACUUUGACCUUACUUGUGUAGGAUAGGUGGGAGGCUAUGAAACUUGGACGCCAGUUCGAGUGGAGCCAUCCUUGAAAUACCACCCUGGUAAUGUCGAGGUUCUAACCCAGUUCCGUUAUCCGGAACGGGGACAGUGUAUGGUGGGUAGUUUGACUGGGGCGGUCUCCUCCUAAAGAGUAACGGAGGAGUACGAAGGUGGGCUCAGCGUGGUCGGAAAUCACGCACUGAGUAUAAAGGCAAAAGCGCGCUUAACUGCGAGACCGACAAGUCGAGCAGGUACGAAAGUAGGUCUUAGUGAUCCGGUGGUUCUGUAUGGAAGGGCCAUCGCUCAACGGAUAAAAGGUACUCUGGGGAUAACAGGCUGAUACCGCCCAAGAGUUCAUAUCGACGGCGGUGUUUGGCACCUCGAUGUCGGCUCAUCUCAUCCUGGGGCUGAAGCAGGUCCCAAGGGUAUGGCUGUUCGCCAUUUAAAGAGGUACGCGAGCUGGGUUUAGAACGUCGUGAGACAGUUCGGUCCCUAUCUACCGUGGGCGUUGGAGACUUGAGAGGAUCUGCUUCUAGUACGAGAGGACCGAAGUGGACGAACCUCUGGUGUUCCGGUUGUCACGCCAGUGGCACUGCCGGGUAGCUAUGUUCGGAAGGGAUAACCGCUGAAAGCAUCUAAGCGGGAAGCCUACCUCAAGAUAAGGUCUCCCUGAGGGUUUACCCUCCUAAAGAGCCGUUAGAGACCAUGGCGUUAAUAGGUUCGGUGUGGAAGUGCGGUGACGCAU